rnacentral:rRNA from 1 species
GUAGGGAAUAUUGGGCAAUGGAUGCAAGUCUGACCCAGCCAUCCCGCGUGCCGGAAGAAGGCCCUCAGGGUUGUAAACGGCUUUUGACGGUGAAGAAUCGACAGAAUGCGUCCUGUUUUGACGGUAGCCGUUGAAUAAGCACCGGCUAACUCCGUGCCAGCAGCCGCGGUAAUACGGAGGGUGCGAGCGUUGUCCGGAUUUAUUGGGUUUAAAGGGUGCGUAGGCUGGAAGGUCAGUCAGCGGUGAAAAGCUGUCGCUUAACGAUAGUCUUGCCGCAGAUACUUCCUUUCUUGGAUGAGGAGGAGGCCACUGGAACGGAUGGUGUAGCGGUGAAAUGCAUAGAUAUCAUCCAGAACACCGAUUGCGAAGGCAGGUGGCUGUACCUUAAUCGACGCUGAUGCACGAAAGCAUGGGGAGCAAACAGGAUUAGAAACCCCAGUAGUCC